UGCAGUCGAGCGGAUGAAGGGAGCUUGCUCCUGGAUUCAGCGGCGGACGGGUGAGUAAUGCCUAGGAAUCUGCCUGGUAGUGGGGGAUAACGUCCGGAAACGGGCGCUAAUACCGCAUACGUCCUGAGGGAGAAAGUGGGGGAUCUUCGGACCUCACGCUAUCAGAUGAGCCUAGGUCGGAUUAUCUAGUUGGUGGGGUAAAGGCCUACCAAGGCGACGAUCCGUAACUGGUCUGAGAGGAUGAUCAGUCACACUGGAACUGAGACACGGUCCAGACUCCUACGGGAGGCAGCAGUGGGGAAUAUUGGACAAUGGGCGAAAGCCUGAUCCAGCCAUGCCGCGUGUGUGAAGAAGGUCUUCGGAUUGUAAAGCACUUUAAGUUGGGAGGAAGGGCAGUAAGUUAAUACCUUGCUGUUUUGACGUUACCAACAGAAUAAGCACCGGCUAACUUCGUGCCAGCAGCCGCGGUAAUACGAAGGGUGCAAGCGUUAAUCGGAAUUACUGGGCGUAAAGCGCGCGUAGGUGGUUCAGCAAGUUGGAUGUGAAAUCCCCGGGCUCAACCUGGGAACUGCAUCCAAAACUACUGAGCUAGAGUACGGUAGAGGGUGGUGGAAUUUCCUGUGUAGCGGUGAAAUGCGUAGAUAUAGGAAGGAACACCAGUGGCGAAAGCGACCACCUGGACUGAUACUGACACUGAGGUGCGAAAGCGUGGGGAGCAAACAGGAUUAUAUACCCCUG
rnacentral:rRNA from 1 species